GAAUGCCAAGAGGAACAAAGAUGAUUAGGAGACUGAAGGCUAAAACAUGUAAAGAAUGAUUACAGGAAUUGGGUAUAUCUAGUUUAAUCAAAAGAAAGACUAGUGGUGACAUGAUAAUAGUGUUCCAAUAUAUGAGCAUCUGCCAGAAAGAAGAGGAGGUGAAGCUAUUUCCCAGA